UAUGAGUACAUACGAAAUAAAUAAGAAAAAGGAGGAAAUUUAGCAAUAAUAGAACUUUAUAGAUUUUUUAUUACAUAAAAAGCCUCUAUAUCUAGAGAUCAGAACCUUACCACAAACUUUUAUAUAUGUUAUUGGUACGUAUACCAAUAAAACUAAUAACCAAUACUGGAAAACAAACAUCUCCAAAAUAAAAACAUAAAAUACUGGAGGCAUGCAUCCUGCUUUCUAUUAUUAUUCUUCUUCUUCAUCUGCUAGCCUUCAUUUUCACUCCAAAAUCCAUUUCAAUUUCUUCUUUUGGCAGUUCUCCUUUCCUGCAAGAAUGUGUUUACUACAAUCAUAUAAACAGUUGCUAAAAAGGUUCCUAUAACACAUUAUGUAACCGACAGAUAUUGAAAAAUGAAUUCAAAUCUUUUGUUUCAUUCCAUGUAUUGUCCUCCAUGUAAUUUUUAUUCAAUUACAAAAUAAUUAUAAAGAUACAGAUUAGGUGGCAGCAAUAAAUAAGGGUGAGACAACAAAUUAGACAGAUAAUGCACAAUAUAAUUGAACUAUGAAAAAAGUGCAUGUUAAAUGUGAUUUUGAAAACUCUUCAUAGUUUUAUUUAAGAUUGAUUAAUUACCUGAGAAAAGGCCAAGUAGUUACUUAGUAGUGAUGAGGAGGAGGAGGAGGAGGAGGAGGGGAGGUGUAGUAAUAAUGCUUGGGUGGUGGUGGCGGUGGAGACUUGUAUUUGUAUACCGGUGUUGGUGGGGGUGGGGACUUGUACUUGUAAACUGGAGGAGGUGGCGGGGGAGACUUGUAUUUGUAAACUGGUGGUGGUGGAGACUUGUAUUUGUAAACUGGUGUUGGUGGUGGUGGGGACUUGUACUUGUAAACUGGUGGUGGUGGGGACUUGUAUUUAUAAACUGGUGUUGGUGGUGGUGGAGACUUGUACUUGUAGACUGGUGGUGGUGGUGAUUUAUAGUGGUAAUGAGGUGGAUGAGAGUGCACUGAGGGAGGUGGUGGUGGUGACUUGUAAUGGUAAGGAGGGGGAGGGGAGUGCACCGGAGGUGGUGGCGGUGGUGAUUUGUAGUGGUAAUGUGGUGGUAGGGAGUGCACCGGAGGUGGUGGUGGUGGUGACUUGUAGUGAUAUGGUGGUGGUGGUGGGGAGUGCACUGGGGUAGGAGGUGGUGGAGACUUGUAGUGAUAAGGAUGGGGAGGAAAGUGCACAGGAGGUGGCGGUGGUGGUGAUUUGUAAUGAUAAGUUGGUGGUGGGAAGUGCACCGGAGGUGGUGGUGGUGGCGGUGAUUUGUAAUGGUAAAGAGGAGAGGAGAAAUGGUCGGUAGCUGCGGUUUCUAAUGGCAAGUUUAGGGACACUAAUACCACUACAAGAGUGACCAUAAGAGUGUCCAUUUUGGACCCCUUCGCUAUUCUUACCAUCUUUUUUACUACAAAUGUAGCUUCUUGUUUGUGCUCUUAAGCAACCUUAAGCCCUCUAUUUAUAGCUUAGCUUUUUACCUUUUAACACUAAUAAUUGUGGUAAAAUUAAUUAAUCUUAUUUGAAUAAUAUACCAAUUUGGUAACAACCUUCUGCAUGAAAAUAUUAGAAUAUAUAAUAGAUGAACCUUUGAAUAAACUGUUGAAUACAUUAUCUUUGGAUCAAUUUGACUUAGAGUUGGUAAGUUAAUUUGUGUGUUGGCAUUUUUUUUAGUAGAUCGAGGCUGCAAGCUCAGCAAAAGAAUAAACUAAUAUUUAAUGUGGCUACUGUUUUUUGGCCUUUUUAAUUGAUGCAAAUAAUUCAGAAGAGAAAGUCUUCUUGUUCUAAAAACAAAUAAAAUUAACUGCAUGUACAAUUGUAUUGUAGGAGAACUUUGAAAAAGUUUGUUUCUUUGCCUAAUUCUUGUUGAUCUUUUGGCGCAGGAGAUCUGGGGCACCUUACUUUUCACACACGCUUGUAUGUGUACGUCCAAUUUCUUGCAUGAUAAUUAUUGCAUGUGCUAUGUUGCUUUCCAUGUUCAUGACAUUUAAAAAUGGGUAAUAAUUAAGAAACCUGACAUUAGUUUUCUAUUUUAUCACACUUUUAAAUAUUUUUUUUAUUUACUCUAUAAUAUAAUUAACUCUUCACCAGAUCCGGUUAACAUGAAGUUUAUUUUUUUGUAAGUUGAUCAAUUGGCGAAUAGAAUACUGCCUGCAUGUCAGUACACUAUUGGUCAAUUGACCAACUUACCUAAAAAUGAACUUCAUGUUAACCACUCCCCCUUUCACCAUUUGGCAGAAGAAGCUAC
rnacentral:lncRNA from 1 species